UACGGAGGGAGCUAGCGUUGUUCGGAAUUACUGGGCGUAAAGCGCACGCAGGCGGUCGCGCGCGUGGGGUGUGAAAUCUGGCCACUUAACGGCCAGGCGCCAUCCCAUACGGCGCGACUGGAGUGAUGCAGAGGUCGAUGGAAUUGCCGGUGUAGUGGUGAAAUGCGUAGAGAUCGGCAGGAACACCCAGGGGGGAAACCAGUCGACUGGGCAUCUACUGACGCUGAGGUGCGAGAGCGUGGGGAGCGAACCGG
rnacentral:rRNA from 1 species